UUGGAAGAUUAAAACUCCGCC
rnacentral:piRNA from 1 species